AUGAUCGUAAGUGAGAUCGAGGGAGCUGAUUAAUCAACUAGCUAGCUUGCAAAAAUGGCGUCCAACAAGGCUUUCGUUGUGUUCACUCUCCUGAUGCUGGUGGCUGCAUCUGCCAUCGUCGACGUCGCCUCUGCCGAUCACGGCGAUCAUGACGGCAAGAAGUGCGGGCCUUGCAAGUGUAAAGGCUGCUGCCACUAUGACAAGUGCUACGAGUACUGCAGCGGCGACAGCGGUCCAUGCUGUAAAUGGGGCAAGUGCCAUUCGUGCUGCUCAUGAAGACGAUGAAUGGAUCGAUGGCAAAUUAAACGCACGUAAACCUUAUACAAAUAUAUAUCUGCUAUAUAUACAUGAAUGACGAUGUGCUUGUCCAGCUACUUCUCCCUAUAGUUGUUUGCUUUGGUCAAUAAAGGAUUGCAUCGAUCUCUGCUGUGUGUACAUGUGUACACACGGCUAGUGCUACUAUGUAUAUGCUCUUAUACAAGGGCUAUACGUACGCAACAAUCCGUGCCUUUGGUGUCGUCAGUCGUAGGGUCGUGUCAGGUAUUGUAGUAUUGUAAUUUGUGCUGAUCUAUAAUAAAAUGCGUUAUAAUAAUGCUUCUAUAGAUAUA